rnacentral:rRNA from 1 species
UAGUCCACGCUGUAAACGAUGUCUACUUGGAGGUUGUUGUCUUGAAUGAUGGCUUUCGGAGCUAGCGCGUUAAGUAGACCGCCUGGGGAGUACGGCCGCAAGGUUAAAACUCAAAUGAAUUGACGGGGGCCCGCACAAGCGGUGGAGCAUGUGGUUUAAUUCGAAGCAACGCACAGAACCUUACCUACCCUUAACAUUUCACGCUCGCCUCAGAGGUGAGGUUUUCUCUUCGGAGACGUGAGGAUAGGUGCUGCAUGGCUGUCGUCAGCUCGUGUCGUAAGAUGUCUGGUUAAGUCCAAUAACGAGCGCAACCCUUAUCCUUAGUUACCAGCAUUGAGUUGGGGACUCUAGGGAGACUGCCGGUGUUAAACCGGAGGAAGGCGGGGAUGACGUCAAGUCCUCAGGGCCCUUACGGGUAGGGCUACACACGUGCUACAAUGGCCGUGACAAAGAGUUGCUACUUUGUGAAAACAAGCUAAUCUCAUAAGCGCGGCCUCAGUUCGGAUUGCAGGCUGAAACUCG